AUUAAAUUCAUGUAAAUUGUAGGAUUGGGACGCUGUUUUUGGCAACCAUGCUGUUGUGUUUGUUCACACCAGGUGUUAUCGGCUAUGAUAGAAGGCCAUGCGUGUGUACGACGGAGUAUAACCCGGUGUGUGGGGUUGAUGGCAAAACAUACGGGAACAUGUGCGCUCUCCGAUGCGCAGGUGUAAGGCUGGCUUAUAAAGGGGCCUGUAAAUACGAAGGAUAUGGGGGAUGAGCAGUCAACAAUAUAAGCCUUCACAGAAGAAAAUAUGAAAAAGCUAUAGUUAUAGUACACAUAUUUUUUUGUAUUCAAGGCUUUUUCUUAAUAAAGAAUUUC